rnacentral:rRNA from 1 species
GAUGAACGCUGGCGGCGUGCCUAACACAUGCAAGUCGAGCGAGGGUUUGCUCAGUAUUGAGUAUUCUAAAACUAGAAUGUUCAAUUCUGAGCAAAACCAAGCGGCGGACGGGUGAGUAACGCGUGGGUAACCUGCCCUAUACACAUGGAUAACAUACUGAAAAGUUUACUAAUACAUGAUAAUAUAUAUUUGCGGCAUCGCAGAUAUAUCAAAGUGUUAGCGGUAUAGGAUGGACCCGCGUCUGAUUAGCUAGUUGGUGAGAUAACUGCCCACCAAGGCGACGAUCAGUAGCCGACCUGAGAGGGUGAUCGGCCACAUUGGAACUGAGACACGGUCCAAACUCCUACGGGAGGCAGCAGUGGGGAAUAUUGCACAAUGGGCGAAAGCCUGAUGCAGCAACGCCGCGUGAACGAUGAAGGUCUUCGGAUCGUAAAGUUCUGUUGCAGGGGAAGAUAAUGACGGUACCCUGUGAGGAAGCCCCGGCUAACUACGUGCCAGCAGCCGCGGUAAUACGUAGGGGGCUAGCGUUAUCCGGAUUUACUGGGCGUAAAGGGUGCGUAGGUGGUCCUUCAAGUCGGUGGUUAAAGGCUACGGCUCAACCGUAGUAAGCCGCCGAAACUGGAGGACUUGAGUGCAGGAGAGGAAAGUGGAAUUCCCAGUGUAGCGGUGAAAUGCGUAGAUAUUGGGAGGAACGCCAGUAGCGAAGGCGGCUUUCUGGACUGCAACUGACACUGAGGCACGAAAGCGUGGGUAGCAAACAGG